GACGAACGCUGGCGGCGUGCUUAACACAUGCCAGUCGAACGGAAAGGCCCUGCUUUUGUGGGGUGCUCGAGUGGCGAACGGGUGAGUAACACGUGAGUAACCUGCCCUUGACUUUGGGAUAACUUCAGGAAACUGGGGCUAAUACCGGAUAGGAGCUCCUGCUGCAUGGUGGGGGUUGGAAAGUUUCGGCGGUUGGGGAUGGACUCGCGGCUUAUCAGCUUGUUGGUGGGGUAGUGGCUUACCAAGGCUUUGACGGGUAGCCGGCCUGAGAGGGUGACCGGCCACAUUGGGACUGAGAUACGGCCCAGACUCCUACGGGAGGCAGCAGUGGGGAAUAUUGCACAAUGGGCGGAAGCCUGAUGCAGCAACGCCGCGUGCGGGAUGACGGCCUUCGGGUUGUAAACCGCUUUCGCCUGUGACGAAGCGUGAGUGACGGUAAUGGGUAAAGAAGCACCGGCUAACCACGUG
rnacentral:rRNA from 1 species